rnacentral:rRNA from 1 species
GACGAACGCUGGCGGCGUGCUUAACACAUGCAAGUCGAGCGGAAAACUUCGGUUUUCAGCGGCGGACGGGUGAGUAACACGUGGGCAACCUGCCUCACAAUGAGGGAUAGCCUUCCGAAAGGAAGAUUAAUAUCUCAUAACACAAGAGAAACGCAUGUUUCUCUUGCCAAAGAAUUUCGUUGUGAGAUGGGCCCGCGGCGCAUUAGCUUGUUAGUGAGGUAACGGCUCACCAAGGCUUCGAUGCGUAGCCGACCUGAGAGGGUGAUCGGCCACAUUGGAACUGAGACACGGUCCAGACUCCUACGGGAGGCAGCAGUGGGGAAUAUUGCACAAUGGAGGAAACUCUGAUGCAGCAACGCCGCGUGAGUGAUGAAGGUCUUCGGAUUGUAAAACUCUGUCUUCUGGGACGAUAAUGACGGUACCAGAGGAGGAAGCCACGGCUAACUACGUGCCAGCCGCCGCAGUAA